UACAGAGGUCCCGAGCGUUGUUCGGAUUCAUUGGGCGUAAAGGGUGCGUAGGCGGCGGGGCAAGUCUGAUGUGAAAUCCCGGGGCUCAACCCCGGAACUGCAUUGGAUACUGCCUUGCUCGAGUACUGGAGAGGGAACUGGAAUUUACGGUGUAGCAGUGAAAUGCGUAGAUAUCUGGAGGAACACCGGUGGCGAAGGCGGCAUCCUGGACCGGCAUUGACGCUGAGGCGCGAAAGCCAGGGGAGCAAACGGG
rnacentral:rRNA from 1 species